rnacentral:rRNA from 1 species
UACGUAGGGCGCGAGCGUUGUCCGGAAUUAUUGGGCGUAAAGAGCUCGUAGGCGGCCUGUCGCGUCCGCCUGUGAAAUCCCGGGGCUCAACCCCGGGCUUGCAGUGGAUACGGGCUGGCUAGAGGCAGGCAGGGGAGAACGGAAUUCCCGGUGUAGCGGUGAAAUGCGCAGAUAUCGGGAGGAACACCGGUGGCGAAGGCGGUUCUCUGGGCCUGUACUGACGCUGAGGAGCGAAAGCG